rnacentral:rRNA from 1 species
UACGAAGGGGGCUAGCGUUGCUCGGAAUCACUGGGCGUAAAGGGUGCGUAGGCGGGUCUUUAAGUCAGGGGUGAAAUCCUGGAGCUCAACUCCAGAACUGCCUUUGAUACUGAAGAUCUUGAGUUCGGGAGAGGUGAGUGGAACUGCGAGUGUAGAGGUGAAAUUCGUAGAUAUUCGCAAGAACACCAGUGGCGAAGGCGGCUCGCUGGGACGUAACUGACGCUGAGACGCGAAAGCGUGGGGAGCAAACAGG